UUACACUAAAGGAAAAAACUAGUCGAAGAGGACGACCUUCCCCAAUAGAGGAGGACUGUUCUUUGGUCAAGGGUAUACAAGUAGCUGCCCUCCCCUGCUAGAACCUCCAAACAAGCUCUCAAUAAUAACCCUGAAUCUUAAUGGCCUAAAC
rnacentral:sRNA from 1 species